GUAGGGUGCGAGCGUUAAUCGGAAUUACUGGGCGUAAAGCGUGCGCAGGCGGUUUGGCAAGUCAGAUGUGAAAUCCCCGAGCUCAACUUGGGAACUGCGUUUGAAACUGCCCGACUAGAAUAUGUCAGAGGGGGGUAGAAUUCCACGUGUAGCAGUGAAAUGCGUAGAGAUGUGGAGGAAUACCAAUGGCGAAGGCAGCCCCUGGGAUAAUAUUGACGCUCAUGCACGAAAGCGUGGGGAGCAAACAGGAUUAGAUACCCUGGUAGUCCACGCCCUAAACGAUGUCUACUAGUUGUUGGUGGAGUAAAAUCCAUGAGUAACGCAGCUAACGCGUGAAGUAGACCGCCUGGGGAGUACGGUCGCAAGAUUA
rnacentral:rRNA from 1 species